UACGAAGGGGGCUAGCGUUGCUCGGAAUUACUGGGCGUAAAGCGUGCGCAGGCGGCUUCUCAAGUCAGGGGUGAAAGCCCAGAGCUCAACUCUGGAACUGCCUUUGAGACUGAGAGGCUUGAGUACGGGAGAGGUGAGUGGAAUUCCCAGUGUAGAGGUGAAAUUCGUAGAUAUUGGGAAGAACACCGGUGGCGAAGGCGGCUCACUGGCCCGAAACUGACGCUCAUGCACGACAGCGUGGGGAUCAAACAGG
rnacentral:rRNA from 1 species